UACGUAGGGGGCGAGCGUUGUCCGGAAUCAUUGGGCGUAAAGAGCGUGUAGGCGGCCAGACAGGUCCGCUGUGAAAACUCGAGGCUCAACCUCGAGAUGUCGGUGGAAACCGUCUGGCUAGAGUCCGGAAGAGGAGAGUGGAAUUCCCGGUGUAGCGGUGAAAAUGCGCAGAUAUCGGGAAGAACACCCGUGGCGAAGGCGGCUCUCUGGGACGGUACUGACGCUGAGACGCGAAAGCGUGGGGAGCGAACAGG
rnacentral:rRNA from 1 species